AUGGAGAGUUUGAUCCUGGCUCAGGACGAACGCUGGCGGCGUGCUUAACACAUGCAAGUCGAACGGAAAGGCCCUGCUUUUGUGGGGUGCUCGAGUGGCGAACGGGUGAGUAACACGUGAGUAACCUGCCCACAACUUUGGGA
rnacentral:rRNA from 1 species